CGUGCUUACACAUGCAAGUCGAACGAUGAAGCCGCUUCGGUGGUGGAUUAGUGGCGAACGGGUGAGUAACACGUGGGCAAUCUGCCCUUCACUCUGGGACAAGCCCUGGAAACGGGGUCUAAUACCGGAUAAUACUCUGUUCCGCAUGGGACGGGGUUGAAAGCUCCGGCGGUGAAGGAUGAGCCCGCGGCCUAUCAGCUUGUUGGUGGGGUAAUGGCCUACCAAGGCGACGACGGGUAGCCGGCCUGAGAGGGCGACCGGCCACACUGGGACUGAGACACGGCCCAGACUCCUACGGGAGGCAGCAGUGGGGAAUAUUGCACAAUGGGCGAAAGCCUGAUGCAGCGACGCCGCGUGAGGGAUGACGGCCUUCGGGUUGUAAACCUCUUUCAGCAGGGAAGAAGCGAAAGUGACGGUACCUGCAGAAGAAGCGCCGGCUAACUACGUGCCAGCAGCCGCGGUAAUAC
rnacentral:rRNA from 1 species